GAUGAACGCUGGCGGCGUGCCUAAUACAUGCAAGUCGAGCGAACAGACUAGUAGCUUUCUCCUCUGACGUUAGCGGCGGACGGGUGAGUAACACGUGGAUAACCUACCUAUAAGACUGGGAUAACUUCGGGAAACCGGUGCUAAUACCGUAUAAUAUAUUGAACCGCAUGGUUCAAUAGUGAAAGACGGUUUUGCUGUCACUUAUAUAUGGAUCCGCGCCGCAUUAGCUAGUUGGUAAGGUAACGGCUUACCAAGGCAACGAUGCGUAGCCGACCUGAGAGGGUGAUAGGACACACUGGAACUGAGACACGGUCCAGACGCCAAAGGGAGGCAGCAGGAGGGAAUCUUCCGCAAUGGGCGAAAGCCUGACGGAGCAACGACGCGUGAGGGAUGAAGGUCUUAGGAUCGUAAAACUCUGUUAUUAGGGAAGAACAAAUGUGUAAGUAACUAUGCACGGCUUGAAGGUACAUAAUCAGAAAGCCAAGGCUAACUACGUG
rnacentral:rRNA from 1 species